rnacentral:rRNA from 1 species
GAUGAACGCUGGCGGCGUGCUUAACACAUGCAAGUCGAACGGAAAGGCUCCUGCUUGCCGGGGUACUCGAGUGGCGAACGGGUGAGUAACACGUGGGUGAUCUGCCCUGCACUUCGGGAUAAGCCUGGGAAACUGGGUCUAAUACCGGAUAGGACCACAUUUUGGAUGGUGUGGUGGAAAGUUUUUCGGUGUGGGAUGGGCUCGCGGCCUAUCAGCUUGUUGGUGGGGUAAUGGCCUACCAAGGCGUCGACGGGUAGCCGGCCUGAGAGGGUGUACGGCCACAUUGGGACUGAGGUACGGCCCAGACUCCUACGGGAGGCAGCAGUGGGGAAUAUUGCACAAUGGGCGCAAGCCUGAUGCAGCGACGCCGCGUGGGGGAUGACGGCCUUCGGGUUGUAAACUCCUGUCGCUAGGGACGAAGCGCAAGUGACGGUACCUGGAGAAGAAGCACCGGCUAACUACGUG